rnacentral:rRNA from 3 species
GAAACUGGCAGGCUUGAGUCUUGUAGAGGGGGGUAGAAUUCCAGGUGUAGCGGUGAAAUGCGUAGAGAUCUGGAGGAAUACCGGUGGCGAAGGCGGCCCCCUGGACAAAGACUGACGCUCAGGUGCGAAAGCGUGGGGAGCAAACAGGAUUAGAUACCCUGGUAGUCCACGCCGUAAACGAUGUCUACUUGGAGGUUGUGCCCUUGAGGCGUGGCUUCCGGAGCUAACGCGUUAAGUAGACCGCCUGGGGAGUACGGCCGCAAGGUUAAAACUCAAAUGAAUUGACGGGGGCCCGCACAAGCGGUGGAGCAUGUGGUUUAAUUCGAUGCAACGCGAAGAACC